CUUUCCUGUUGCUUCUGUGUUUUUAAUAGUUUCAAGAGAGAAUUAGGAUUUGAAUUGAGUCACUCAUGUAUGAUGUAUUGAAUAUGUUCUCAGUUAGCAUUGUUCCAACAUGUAAUAUUUAUUUAUUCAGUGGUUUAUUAUUUUCAGAGAAGCAGAAACAGCUUUAUUUUAUGCAUGUGCCAAACUCUGAAACCUGGAAAACAUAUAUCAUUGCAAAUGGUUGACUGUAUGCUGCUGGUGAUUCCUGCAGCCCAGCAGGGAGCAAACCCCUGUAUUGGGCCUCCCAAUGGGAGCACCAGCGGAAAGUGUCAGUCAUAAGACUCUGGCAUCUGCAACCUGAUGGAAGCAAAACACUUAGCUUCUGUUUCUCUACUUUUCCUCACAAAGCCUAUUGCCGAAGGCAUACACAGCUGCAUGGGGACCUCCAGCAGAGUUUAAAACUAAAUGAGGACACUCUGGGCAUCGCCCGCCGGAUCUUGUUGGCAGCCCAGCGGCUGGAUCCUACCUCGUUCUCUGGACACGGGCUGGACUAUUAAACCAGAGUUUCCUGUGAUAGACACCCUAGUCGCUGCUACUCCGAUCAUCUGUUGUUUUAAUAAAAGCUUUUUGAAUUA